rnacentral:rRNA from 1 species
GCUAACGCGUGAAGGCGAGCACUCUAGACGAAACUGCCGUUGCAAACGGAGGAAGGUGGGAUGACGUCAAAUCAUCAUGCCCCUUAUGUUCUGGGCUACACACGUGCUACAAUGGCCGGCACAGACGGACGCAAAGCCGCGAGGUGGAGCAAAUCCUAAAAAAGCCGGUCUCAGUUCGGAUUGCAGGCUGCAAUUCGCCUGCAUGAAGUCGGAAUCGCUAGUAAUCGCAGGUCAGCAUACUGCGGUGAAUACGUUCCCGGGCCUU